rnacentral:rRNA from 1 species
CCCUUAGAUGUCCUGGGCUGCACGCGCGCUACACUGGAAGUUACGGAUUGAGAUACUACCUUGUCCGAAAUGGUCCGGGUAAUCACCUAAAAGCUUGUCAUAAUUGGAAUGGAUUAUUGUAACUAGUAAUCCUGAACGAGGAAUUCCUAGUAAGUCCUAGUCAACAGCUGGUACUGAUUACGUCCCUGCCCUUUGUACACACCGCCCGUCGCUACUACUGAUUGGACGUUUAAGCAAGAUUUUUAAACACUGACAGUGUGUAGUUCACGCUAUACUACAGUGAGAAGAAGAAGAUCGAGCUUACUUGUCUAGAGGAAGUAAAAGUCGUAACA